rnacentral:rRNA from 1 species
AAAGCGUGCGCAGGCGGUUAUAUAAGACAGAUGUGAAAUCCCCGGGCUCAACCUGGGAACUGCAUUAGUGACUGCAUAGCUGGAGUACGGCAGAGGGGGAUGGAAUUCCGCGUGUAGCAGUGAAAUGCGUAGAUAUGCGGAGGAACACCGAUGGCGAAGGCAAUCCCCUGGGCCUGUACUGACGCUCAUGCACGAAAGCGUGGGGAGCAAACAGGAUUAGAUACCCUUGU